rnacentral:misc_RNA from 1 species
GCCCUGCGCUCAGUAGUGUGAAUUGCAGAAUUCAGUGAAUCAUCGAAUCUUUGAACGCACAUUGCGCCCUUUGGUAUUCCAAAGGGCAUGCCUGUUCGAGCGUCAUUUGUACCCUCAAGCUUUGCUUGGUGUUGGGCGUCUUGUCUCUAGCUUUGCUGGAGACUCGCCUUAAAGUAAUUGGCAGCCGGCCUACUGGUUUCGGAGCGCAGCACAAGUCGCACUCUCUAUCAGCAAAGGUCUAGCAUCCAUUAAGCCUUUUUUCAACUUUUGACCUCGGAUCAGGUAGGGAUACCCGCUGAACUUAAGC